rnacentral:rRNA from 1 species
UACAGAGGGGGCAAGCGUUAUUCGGAAUUAUUGGGCGUAAAGAGCGCGUAGGCGGUCCGAUAAGUCGGCUGUGAAAAGUCCAGGGCUCAACCCUGGAAAGCCGGCCGAUACUGUCGGACUAGAGUCCGGAAGAGGCAAGUGGAAUUCCCGGUGUAGCGGUGAAAUGCGCAGAUAUCGGGAGGAACACCAAUUGCGAAGGCAGCUUGCUGGGACGGUACUGACGCUGAGGCGCGAAAGCGUGGGGAGCAAACAGG